GUUGCAAUAACCACCUAUGCCCAACAUUAAACAUAACUUCCCCACCCAUCUUUAGAAGUACUUAAAGCCAUUGUGACCCAAGAUGAUAUCAGUCUGUAAGUAUUUGUGGUCUACAUAACAGGUGGAGGAUUGUGAAGUUUAGGAUUGAGGGACAUGAUAGAAAAGAAUUAGGGAAAGAGCCUGGGAAGAUGACAUCCAUUUUGAAGGAGAAAGUGAUUAUUUCUUGUGAAACAGAAGAUAAAAAGGAUAGAAGUAAAUAUAAAGAUAUUUUAAUGUGGAUAGAAUGUGAGAAGGAAUAGGCAAGUGAUGGCUCAGUACUUUCAGUAAAGGGAGAAAUAAGAGGGGAAUUUUAAGUUAUCUUCAUGAAAAGGGAGGGAUAAGGUUAGUUCUGAUAUGAAGAGCUCCAGUGGGGCGAGAGGAGUGAAUAAAAGACUAACAAAAAAAGUAGGGAAAUAGGUCAUUUCAACAGUUCAACAAAUUUCUCUGAGUACUACUAUGUUACAAUACUGUGUAGGCACAGGGUCAGAGAAGAUAUAAUCCCUUUCCUUGUGGUUGUCCCUCUAAAUGGGAAAGCCACCACCAGGGCCCUGUUGAAAGGAUAUGAACAUUAACAUUAGCAUAAUCACACGAUGAUCUUUAGCAAUGCUUGCUGGACUCUGCAGGACAGGAGGUGGAUUGGGGGCUGUGAAGAUUCAGAUUUACUAACAACCUGAUAAGAAUAUUCAAGGCACCACUGGUGAACAUGAUGUCCACACUAGGAAAAGAGAUAUGUAAGGUAAGGGAAAGCACUGCUCCUGUAGGGAGGGAGUACUGUGGGCAUCAGGAAAGGCAGUGCCAACUUUAAGGGAGCCCUCAAGUGAUCCUUCAAGUGAUAAGAGGCCUCCCAGUUAAGUCCUAUUGGUGGGUCACUGAGACAGUGAGGAGGGACAUGGAUGAGUAAAAAGUGUUAUAAAGAUGUAAUAAGGGCUUGUGCAUGUCAUAAUAUGAUUAAACAAAUAGGAAGUAUACAGGAGUUAUGAGGAGUUGGAUCCCCACAAAUCUAAGAAAGACCAAGUCAUAUAAGGUCCAGCUCAUCCAGGAAAGUCUCGAAGUACAGGGAUUCUGAUCCUGAAAUCAUCUCCGUUUACCUUGGUUUAUCUUUUUGAGACGCUUAGUUGCUUCUGAGAGGACUUGCUAUGAAGAUUCCUUUCCUUUUUUUAGCUCUUCUUUUCUUUGGCCUGUUAUCUGCCUCAGGAACUGAAGAUGAUUAUAUGGUCACUAGCUUCCUGGACUGUAAAAAUCAAACAUUGUGUAGUUCUCCAAAUGAAAAUGGAAACUGUUCUGAUGUUAACAAGGAGGUUGGAAUAUGUGUCUUGCGUUUUAGAAAAAAUGCAAAGCAACCAACCAUAAAGAAAUAGAACAUUAGGAAGACAGGACAAUCAACACCCUUGUCUUAUCAGAAAAUAAAGUCUGUUUUCUCUC